AGGAACACGUAGAUAACCUGCCCUUCAGCGGGGGACAACCUUUCGAAAGGAAGGCUAAUACCGCAUAAGACCACAGCAUCUGCGGAUGCAGGGGUUAAAGAUUUAUCACUGAAGGAGGGGUCUGCGUCCGAUUAGCUUGAUGGUGGGGUAAUGGCCUACCAUAGCAACGAUCGGUAGCUGGUCUGAGAGGACGAUCAGCCACACUGGAACUGAGACACGGUCCAG
rnacentral:rRNA from 1 species